rnacentral:rRNA from 1 species
CCUACGGGUGACUGCAGUGAGGAAUAUUGGUCAAUGGGCGUAAGCCUGAACCAGCCAAGUCGCGUGAGGGAUGAAGGUUCUAUGGAUCGUAAACCUCUUUUAUAAGGGAAUAAAGUGUGGGACGUGUCCUGUUUUGUAUGUACCUUGUGAAUAAGGAUCGGCUAACUCCGUGCCAGCAGCCGCGGUAAUACGGAGGAUCCGAGCGUUAUCCGGAUUUAUUGGGUUUAAAGGGUGCGUAGGCGGCCUUUUAAGUCAGCGGUGAAAGUGUGUGGCUCAACCCUAGAAUUGCCGUUGAAACUGGGAGGCUUGAGUAUGUUUGAGGCAGGCGGAAUGCGUGGUGUAGCGGUGAAAUGCUUAGAUAUCACGCAGAACCCCGAUUGCGAAGGCAGCCUGCCAAGCCAUGACUGACGCUGAGGCACGAAAGCGUGGGGAUCAAACAGGAUUAGAUACCCGUGUAGUC